UACGAAGGGGGCGAGCGUUGUUCGGAUUUACUGGGCGUAAAGGGCGCGCAGGCGGUUCUGUUUGUCGAGUGUGAAAGCCCCGGGCUUAACCUGGGAACUGCAUUGGUGACUGGCAGGCUUUGAGUGUGGCAGAGGGAGGUAGAAUUCCACGUGUAGCAGUGAAAUGCGUAGAGAUGUGGAGGAAUACCGAUGGCGAAGGCAGCCUCCUGGGCCAACACUGACGCUCAUGCACGAAAGCGUGGGGAGCAAACAGG
rnacentral:rRNA from 1 species